rnacentral:rRNA from 1 species
GAACCGCAGAGAUGUGGGCGUGCCCGAAAGGGAACCUAGACACAGGUGCUGCAUGGCUGUCGCCAUCUCGUGUCGUGAGAUGUUGGGUUAAGUCCCGCAACGAGCGCAACCCUUGCCAUUAGUUGCUACAUUCAGUUGGGCACUCUAAUGGGACCGCCGGUGACAAACCGGAGGAAGGUGGGGAUGACGUCAAGUCCUCAUGGCCCUUAUGGGUAGGGCUUCACACGUAAUACAAUGGUCGGUACAGAGGGCUGCCAACCCGCAAGGGGGAGCUAAUCCCAGAAAGCCGAUCGUAGUCCGGAUUGUAGUCUGCAACUCGACUGCAUGAAGCCGGAAUCGCUAGUAAUCGCGGAUCAGCAUGUCGCGGUGAAUACGUUCCCGGGUCUUGUACACACCGCCCGUCACACCAUGGGAGUGGGUUCCACCAGAAGUAGUUAGCCUAACCGCAAGGAGGGCGAUUACCACGGUGAGAUUCAUGACUGGGGUGAAGUCGUCGUAACAAGGUAACCGUAAAUCAC